rnacentral:rRNA from 1 species
ACUCCUACGGGAGGCAGCAGUGGGGAAUAUUGCACAAUGGGCGCAAGCCUGAUGCAGCCAUGCCGCGUGUAUGAAGAAGGCCUUCGAUGUAUGUACUUUCAGCAGUGAGGAAGGUGGGUAUGUUAAUAGCAUACUCAUUUGNACGUUAGCUGCAGAAGAAGCACCGGCUAANCUCCGUGCCAGCAGCCGCGGUAAUACGGAGGGUGCGAGCG